UGGGAGUCAGGGUUUGGCGAAAGGGUGGGUCCAGAAGAGGUAAAAGGCCACAAUUCAGUGGGUUAGUGAGGGGAAAGAUCUGCAGUGAUUGGGAGGAUCAGGGGGCGUGAGGUUCAGGAAGUAGUCUCAGCAGCGAGUAGGAGGUAUUGUAAAUAGAAGUUAACAUAUAAACCUUAAUAUGUGGAAGGAAAAAGGACCUGAUGCACGAGCAUCAGGUCUGGAUCUAAAUCUGGAGAUUAAUAGCUCUUCCAUAAGCCCUGCUACAUUAAAUGAGAUCUAGCAAAUGCCACAGUGCCGCUAUUAUGAUAUGAUGACCACAACUGUCCACACAACUCUUAAGUGCAACCCUUGAAGGCAUCUGGCAUGAACAUUGGCAUGCAACCCAGUGAUAGAAGAUUUGUUAACGUAUUUACAAAGACCCAUUUUCCCUUCCAUCUUCACACUGCUCCUGACCAGUGCCAUGUGACUCCAUGGUGAGACUGUCUACAAUUACACUAAAGGAAGGUCAUCAAUGUGAAAAAAUCUUUGGCAAACCCUUUUUUUACAUGCUUGUUUGCAAGAACAGGUACAGUGACAUAAUUUAUGAUCAACACCACAGUACCAUUUUAGCGCAAUGUCACCAUGAUGGAAAUGACAUGUAACUCUCCUAACUUUUGUCAUUUCCCCCACCUAAACACAAAAAAAAAGGUGUGCCAAAUGUUUUCUCCAUAAGGCGACCUCCUUCAACGAAGCCUCCACAGAACAGCUGAUUUCUCCCUGUUUUUGGACUCAAAUUCAUCAACAAAUACAAUCUGAACACCAGAAUGGCCAGUUAAAAUCCAGCUUCCAUUGAUCUCAGCGUUUAAGAAACUUGGAUCAUGUCCACUCUGCCAUCUUUCAAUGAAAACAAGCUUAAUAUGUGACAGUCUUCAGAAGAAUGCAAAGUCAAUUUGUUGCUUUCUUGAAUGCAGGUUGUGUGUUCAAACUGCCUAUAGGAAGCGGAAUCUUGUGCCCUCCCUAUGAUACUGCCAACAUUUUCUGGUUUUUUUUCAGGUUACCAGCAUCAGCAGUGUUUUGCUUUAGUUACAGGCUGUUGUCACUAUUAGCUAUACAGAAUGAUCAAAUUAAAGCAGAUGUUCACGCAGUGAGAUGAAUGCCAAGUUUAAAGUGACACUGUUUUCGUGUAAUAAAGCAUACAGACCAUGAAGACCCCAGACUGGAACUUUUAGCUCAGAUGGAGGAAGACACCAUAUGCUGUAGAUGCUGCAGUGCCUAGUUCUUGAGUAAUUGGAAACUUUUCAUUAGGAGCGGUGAAACUCUUCAAAAUAUCCCAAUGCUAAUUUUUAAAAUGGCCUCAUUCAUGCCCUGUAAAAUCUGCUACUUCAUGAAUAUUCUAAUUGUGCUGAUUUUAUAGAUUAACUGAAAAGAAAGUCUCUCCAAAUUAAAUUUA